UAGCUAUUAAAGUGGUACAUAUUACAAAACCUAAUUCCCUUUUCAGUAUGAAAGAUAGCAUAUCAUAGUUAACAGUAUGUCUGUUUAUAAAACGAGACCUUAGGAGUCAACCUUUUAAGGCUUUUAAACAAUUUUUAGACUGCAGGACAGUUCCUUGUAUAUGUGAUUGUGUCGAAUCACAGCUUGCUAAAAUAGUGGGAAAUUUUACACUUUACCAUAUGUAUUGCAUAGGAAGUUGUUU